rnacentral:rRNA from 1 species
AACGAACGCUGGCGGCGUGUUUAAGACAUGCAAGUCGCACGGGAUAAGACAUGUAGUAAUACUUGUUUUAUUUAGUGGCGCACGGGUGAGUAACACGUGAAUUACAUGCCCUAUAGUGGGGAAUAGCCCAGGGAAACUUGGAUUAAUACCCCAUGGUAUCGAAAGAUUAAAGGUGGCCGCAAGGCUGUCGCUAUAGGAUUGGUUCGCGCCAUAUCAGCUUGUUGGUGAGGUAACGGCUCACCAAGGCAAUGACGGGUACCUGGUCUGAGAGGACGAUCAGGCACACUGGAACUGAGACACCGUCCAGACACCUACGGGUGGCAGCAGUCGAGAAUAAUUCACAAUGGGGGCAACCCUGAUGGUGCAACGCCGCGUGAAGGAUGACGGUCUUCGGAUUGUAAACUCCUGUCAUCUGGGAGAAAGACCUGACGGUAAAUAGCCGGCAGGGUUGAUAGUACCAGAAGAGGAAGGGACGGCUAACUUCGUGCCAGCCGCCGCGGUAA